rnacentral:rRNA from 1 species
UACGUAGGGGGCUAGCGUUGUCCGGAUUUAUUGGGCGUAAAGAGCGUGUAGGCGGCCAAGUAGGUCCGGUGUGAAAACUCGAGGCUUAACCUCGAGAUGUCAUCGGAAACCAUUUGGCUAGAGUCCGGAAGAGGAAAGUGGAAUUCCCGGUGUAGCGGUGAAAUGCGUAGAGAUCGGGAAGAACAUCGGUGGCGAAAGCGCUCUACUGGACGGUGACUGACACUCAGGGACGAAAGCUAGGGGAGCGAAUGGG